ensembl:lincRNA
CAGGACCAGAGUUACUCACCCAGUGAGCUGAAGUGACAUAUCUGGACAGGUCUACUUGGCAGCCAGUCGUCACCUAUACCUGGUUUACUGGUUUCUCAUUUACCUUGGUCGCCUCUCCUUUGAUACGAUGCUGCACCAAGGACAAAAGAGCCAAGGGGAUCCCAACCCCUAGAAAGCAAAACAACUCUUUCCCCACAAGAUACAACACAGUUGUUUUGAAUUCUGCUUUAGCAACUAAUCCUAGAUGGACCCCUACAAUGACCCUAAAGUGCCUCAGAACAGUUUGAAAUCACAGGUAAUGGAAACGACCCAAAGUCCAUCAACAGGAGAAUAAAGCUGUGUUCAUCUAUACAAUGGGGAAAAAAAAGAAUAAAAAGACUAAACUCAGCAAAAAAAGAAAUAGCUAUGAGUGUACAUUGUAACAUGGAUGAAUCUUGGAAACAUAUUCGGUGAAAGAAGCCAGCCAUAAAAGAGUAAAUAAUGUAUGAUUCCAUUUAUAUGACAUUCUAGAACCUAUGAAGCCAAUCCAUGGUGAUAGAAAUCAGAACAGUGGUUGCCAAUGGAGUUGGGUUUGGCUGGCUGGGGAUGAUAGAACUUUCUACGGCAAUGGAAACAGUCUAUAUCUUGAUUGGAGUGGGGGUUGCACAGCUGUAUAUAUCUGCCUGAGAUCUUGCUGCAUUUGUCGGCUAGGAAGAAUUGUUCCUUCUUCAACUGUACACCAAGUUCAAGAGGCCGAGCAGAUAAACCGUGCCUGAAGCUCUAAGCAGGAGAGAAGAGGCCCAGGAGGAUGUGAGCAGAUACAAGUGCUUUGAUUUCUUUGAAAGCAAGCUGCUCUCUUUCACCAAGUUGCUGAAGAUAGAGUGACACUGUGGUGAUGACAAAAUGCGGAGAGAAAUCAGCUCCCCUUUUUUGGGGCGGCUUCUAACUGGGUCACAGGAAAACCGGGGGUUCUUUACAUUGCCAGAGGUCCUAGAUGUUCAUCACUCCAAUCUUCCAUGAAAUGGAUGAUGUCCCUGAUGGCGGUGGCCAAGCCACUGCAGGCCACUCCCAGACCAGGGGCCCUCAUUUCCUCACAAGACAGCCAUGCCUUGUAGGGCCAGCUCCAGGCCUGGGCAGGGUCCGCCCAAGGGGUGGGGCACCUCUUCAUGUCUCCUGCCUGUUUUCUUACUCUUGUUCUCAAUAACAGCACAGAGGAAGUAAAUGUCCCUUCCAUGUGACAAUUCUACAAGGUGACUGUCAUGUUCUAGUGUGCUUCUCUUUCAGUCCAAACAUCUUCAGUACCUUCUACCAUUCCUUUAUUAUUUUUUUUUAAAGAUAUACUUAUUUAUUUGAGAGAGUGGGGGGAGCAUGAGCAGGAGGAGCGGAGGGAGAGGGAAAAAGAAUCUCAGGCAGAUGCUGCAUUGAGUGCAGGGCCUGUCCCAGGGAUGGAUCCCAUGACCCUGAGGUCAUGACCUGAGCCAAAACCAAGAGUCAGAUGCUUAACCCACUGAGCUACCCUGGUGCCCCAAAGCUUUUAUUUUUCUAAUUCAAAUGAUAGACACUACUUGCACAGUCUCUUUAUCCUUUCUUGCUCCC